rnacentral:rRNA from 1 species
UACGUAGGGGGCAAGCGUUGUCCGGAGUUUACUGGGCGUAAAGCGCGUGUAGGCGGCCACGCAGGUCCGUUGUGAAAACUAGAGGCUCAAACCUCUAGACGUCGACGGAAACCGUGUGGCUAGAGUCCGGAAGAGGAGAGUGGGAAUUCCUGGUGUAGCGGUGAAAUGCGCAGAUAUCAGGAAGAACACCAAUGGCGAAGGCAGCUCUCUGGGACGGUACUGACGCUGAGACGCGAAAGCGUGGGGAGCGAAC